CAAGUCUGGCAGGGGUCACAGCAUGGCUUCUGGCAUGGAUCACAGCAAGUCUGGCACGGGUCACAGCAAGGCUUCUGGCACGGGUCACAGCAAACGGUCUUCUGGCACGGGUCACAGCAAGUCUGGCACGGGUCACAGCAGACGGUCUUCUGGCACGGGUCACAGCAAGUCUGGCACGGGUCACAGCAAGGCUUCUGGCAUGGGUCACAGCAAGUCUGGCAUGGGUCACAGCAAGGCUUCUGGCACGGGUCACAGCAGACAGACUGCUGGCAUGGAUCACAGCAGGGCUUCUGGCAUGGGUCACAGCAAGUCUGGCACGGGUCACAGCAUGGCUUUUGGCACGGGUCACAGCAAGUCUGGCAUGGGUCACAGCAAGGCUUCUGGCACGGGUCACAGCAAGUCUGGCAUGGGUCACAGCAAGGCUUCUGGCACGGGUCACAGCAGACAGUCUUCUCACAGCAGACAGUCUUCUGACACGGGUCACAGCAGACUGUCUUCUGACAGGGGCUGCAGCACACUGUCUUGCUCUUCACAACAGAGCAGCAUCCACUGGAGCAACACACGUUGGGGCACAUGGUGUUUGUUGGUAAUGUAGUCCAAGCUGGAGGGAGCGAGGAUCUGAAAGGCAAUGCACAUUAA